rnacentral:rRNA from 1 species
AUGGCCCCUGAGGAGUGCCUUCUUUGGAUAGCACUCCUCGCGGUGCCUCUCCUGUGCUACAUGAUGAUGUACACUAGAAGAGGUGCCUGCCGGUGGCCGCCAGGCCCCCGGCCGUGGCCCAUACUCGGCAACCUCCUCGACCUGCGCGGUGGUAACCUCCACCACAACCUCGCGCGCCUGGCGCACACCCAUGGCCCUGUGAUGACACUCAAGCUCGGCGUGGUGAGCACCGUGAUUGUGUCCUCCCGGGACGCGGCGUGGGAGGCAUUCGCUAAGCACGACCGCCGCAUUGCGGCGCGCACUGUCCCGGACACGAGGCGCGCCGUGGCCCACGCCGACCGCUCAAUGGUGUGGCUGCCGAGCUCCGACCCGCUGUGGAAGACGCUGCGUGGCAUUGCCGCCACACACAUCUUCUCGCCGCGCAGCCUCGCGUCAGCGCAGGGCGCCCGGGAGCGCACCAUGAACCACAUCCUUUACACCUUCCGCCGCCGCGCCGGGCAGGAGGUCGACAUUGGCCACGUUCUGUACCAUGGCAUGUUCGACCUGCUGACCAACACACUCUUCUCCCUCGACGGCCAGGACAAGCUGAGGGACAUUCUAGAGGACAUCGUGGCGCUCCUCGCCGAGCCCAACGUGUCGGACUUGUACCCGUUGCUCCGGGUGCUGGACCUGCAGGGCCUUCGCCGCUGGACGGCCACACACAUGAACCGCGUCUUUCAUGUGCUAGACAAGAUCAUCGACACCCGGCUUGGCGAGGGCAAUCAUGAUCAGGACGUCCUGGACACGCUGCUGGCAUUGAUGACCACCGGCAAGAUGAGCCGCCGCGACGUUAAGACCAUGCUGUUUGACGUCCUAGCGGCGGGCACGGAGACGACCAAGAUCACGGUGGAAUGGGCGAUGGCGGAGCUGCUGCGGAACCCGGGCGUGAUGGCGGCGGUGCGCACCGAGAUGAAGGGUACCCUCACGCAAACGCAGGGGAGGAUGAUCACGGAGGCAGACGUGGCGAAGCUACCGUACCUACAGGCCGUGGUGAAGGAGUCGAUGCGGCUGCACCCUGUUGCGCCGCUGCUGCUGCCGCACCUGGUGGAGGAGGAGGGCGUGGAGAUAGGUGGCUACACCGUGCCCAAGGGCGCCACCGUCAUCUUCAACUCAUGGUCCAUCAUGCGCGACCCGGCGGCAUGGGAGAGGCCCGAGGAGUUCGUGCCGUAGCGUUUCCUGGGGAAAACGGAGCUUGGCAUGUGGGGGAAAGAGGUCAAGUUCAUCCCACUGGGCACCGGCCGGAGGCUGUGCCCGGCAUUGCCCAUGGUGGAGCUUCUCGUGCCAUUCACCGUGGCGUCCAUGCUGCAUGACUUUGAGUGGCGGCUGCCCCAGGGCAUGUCACCUGACCAGGUGGACGUGACCGAGAGGUAUACAAGCAACGAUAUCCUCGUUAUGGACGUGCCUCUCAAGGUUGUGCCCAUGGUCGCCACCUAG